ACAAGCGUGCGUGCGCGUGACCGCCUCCACCGGCGGACUCGUGAGCGCGCCGCUGCCGGGACCGCUCCUGGGCCUUAGAGAAGACGCGGAUAAGGGCCAAGGAAAGAGGGAGGUAGCGGUUCCUGAGCUCCUUCGGCGCUUCGGCUCCUGCAGCUCUGACUAUUCGGACCGUGAAGGUAGAAUAGGAGGCGGCCAGUUCCCCGCUCUAAGAAGUUGCCUGCGCUCUGAGAGACAGGUGCUGCUGUGUUGCCUAGGAUGAUCUCAAACUCCUAAGCUCAAGCAAUCCUCCUGCGUCAACUUUCCAAAGCGCUGGAAUUAUGGGCGUGAGCCGCUGUGCCCAGGGUUAUUUUAAAAGAAGAGGAAGAAGAGGAGGAGGAAGGAAGAAAAGGAGGAAGGAGGAGAAGAAAUCAUAUGUGGCUCACAAAACUUAAAAUAUUUACACUCCUGGCUCUUUGCAGGAAAAGUUUGCUAGUUUGCUGACCCCUGAAAACUAUAUAUCACAUUUUGCAUUUUUUGUAUUCUGCUGAUGUAUUAGGUGUAAGAAAAAGAACCACUCAAACUAUUUUCAACAAAAAUGAAUUUAAUGCAGGGUAUCAGGAGCUUAUAAAAUCAUUGGAAAGUCUAAAGGAAUGGUCACUUAGCAGGCCUCCAGAAAUGAUUCCUACAGCAAGUCUGCUGGAUGGUCUACUGAGGAGCUGCCAUCUCUGCAAUAAUCAGAGAGGCAGGCAGUCAGAGACCUCCAGUGGAGUGUUGAGUUCAAAGACAUACUGCUGUACCUGUGAUCCAAGGAUCAAGAGGCCACUGCUGCCCCUGCUACUUUCUCUAAACAGGCACAGGGGUAGGACCUAGACACUGAAAUACUGCUGCAGAAAUACCCAAUGUGUCUACAACUAGUUUUCCAGCAGAAACAAAACAUAGCUGUAGCCUAGGAUCCACCUUCCAAGUGCAUCUAAUUGGCAGAAGCAUAACCCUACCUGCAGGACAUGAGGGAAAUGUGUCUUUUCCUUCUUUAACCUCUGUAUUCAAAGAAAGCACACUAGAAGAUUGGAAUGGCUUAGGGCCAGAGCCAGUCCAGAGUACUCACCACAGCAGGUUUGUUGCUUUAGGCUCUAUUCAACUCUUCUCAUCUUUGGACAACUCCUUAUUCUUUCAUUUGAGGAACCUUCCCUGACACUUCCUUCCCUACCUCCACCGUUAGUGGAUUAGAUGCCCUUUCAUAACCUUCCAUAGCUCUCAGCCCUAGCUCUGCGAUGUGUACAUCACUCCAUGUCAUAAUGGCCUAAUUUCUUGCUGCUGCUUCCACUAGACUAGCUCUUUGCAGAAACUCAGUCUUAUUCAUCACUGUGUAGGUAGUUGGUGUGUAUUUGUUGUGAAUGAUAAAUAGUUUAUAUAUUAUAACAUCCCAAAUAGCAUUUCUUCUCUUACUUUCUUUGUUCCAUAUGGCUGUGUACUGAUACCUGUAUACAGUGAAAACUCAGUAAAUGUUGUUAACUGACUGGCUUCCUUUUUUGUCAGCUCAAAGAGAAGUUCCAUCAAUACGCUAUAUGUGUGUCUUUGUUUGACUCCCUGUGUACCUAUAUAGGUUAAUAAUUGCAAUGGAACAGCUAAUAUUUGAACAGUUUCAACAUGCUAGGUGAUAUUUGAAGCACUUUAUACAUACUAUCUAAUUAAAUCCUCACAAUUAUCCUAUGAAGUCGAUAUUUUUAUUCUCAUUUUAUAAAUAAACUGGGACUUAAGUAGCUUGUCCACAGUUACACAAUAAGUGACAGAACUGGAACUCACAUCGAGGUCUGGCUAAGACCAAAAUUUGUACUCUUAACCAUGAUAAUGAUGAUGAUUGUGAUAAUGAUGACAGCUAAUAGUUCCAGACUUGGUUCUAGGCAUUUUACAUGUAUUAUCUCAAGCUACAUAUUGCCUUGCCUGGAAUUGAUGCUUAAUAGUUGUUACAUGUGAUAAGAUAAACAAAGCUCUUGAUAACUGUGAUGUAUUUCUGGCUCUGCCACUAAUUUACUUUGUGACCUGAGGUAAACUACUAACUCUGUGAGCUCCAGUUUUCUCCUCUGCAAAACAGAGAACGAUCUUUACAAUACUUCUAGUCCAAAAAUUCCAGAACUCUAUGAAUAAAUUCUACUUAGUUUUUCAUUC